AACAACUCAAGAACACAAGACAACAUGAACAAUUGAAAGAGAAGAAAGGAAGGAGAAAAGAGUGCUCAUGAAGAUGGAAGAAUGUUGGAUGAUCUCGCCACUAGAAGUGUGGAAUGCUCCUAGAUGAGAGUGAUGCCGCCACUUGAGGACUCCAAUGAUCCAUCAAGAUAAGACUAGAGAAGAAGGCUCCAAAAGCUCUCCAAAGUUCACUCAAAAUUUGAGUAGAGUUUUCU
rnacentral:lncRNA from 1 species